UGGGGAAUUUUGGACAAUGGGCGCAAGCCUGAUGCAGCCAUGCCGCGUGUGUGAAGAAGGCCUUCGGGUUGUAAAGCACUUUCAGCGAGGAGGAAGGUGUGAACUUAAUACGUUCAUCAAUUGACGUUACUCGCAGAAGAAGCACCGGCUAACUCCGUGCCAGCAGCCGCGGUAAUACGGAGGGUGCAAGCGUUAAUCGGAAUUACUGGGCGUAAAAGCGCACGCAGGCGGUUUGUAAGUCAGAUGUGAAAUCCCCGGGCUCAACCUGGGAACUGCAUUUGAAACUGGCAAGCUAGAGUCUCGUAGAGGGGGGUAGAAUUCCAGGUGUAGCGGUGAAAUGCGUAGAGAUCUGGAGGAAUACCGGUGGCGAAGGCGGCCCCCUGGACGAAGACUGACGCUCAGGUGCGAAAAGCGUGGGGAGCAAAACAGGAUUAGAUACCCUGGUAGUCCACGCUGUAAAACGAUGUCGAUUUUGGAGGUUGUGCCCUUGAGGCGUGGCUUCCGGAGCUAACGCGUUAAA
rnacentral:rRNA from 1 species